GACGAUUCUAGGUAACAGGAAGCCAACGGGUGGCCAUUGGCAGACUGCUCCAGAAGAGUAGCUAAUGGUGUCCUUAGAAAGAAGCGAGAGUGAGAAGAGGAGGAAGCUUGGGCUGUGGAGAAAGGCGCUCGUGUUUGGUCCUGACAGAGGCUGAGACAGCUGCAUCGAAUGGGCCAGGCAAAGGGACGAGGUUUCUACACUUCACUCAGAUGGCACAGCACUCGCAGCAGAGAGCUGUGGUACAUGGUGUGUACGCAUCUUCAGACAGGUGCAGCUCACGAUGUGCCGUAGACUCAAGACACCCACCAUGUCAGCGAGUGACCCAGAGCUAUGAAGACAUUUUGAGGAUUUUCUAGAAGAACCACCAAGUUUUGGAGUGAGGUGUGAGCUCAUCUUUGGUUACUGUGGACAGGCACUGAUAAUUCCUCCUUUGCAGAUGCUAGCAGUGUUGCCACGCUGUUCCUGGGAGAGCCCUUCCUUUCUCUAUUAAAGAGCAUUAGUGCCUUGUCACAAAUAAUUGACUGUCUGUGCAGACCUCUAUA